rnacentral:rRNA from 1 species
GACGAACGCUGGCGGCGUGCUUAACACAUGCAAGUCGAACGGAAAGGCCCUGCUUUUGUGGGGUGCUCGAGUGGCGAACGGGUGAGUAACACGUGAGUAACCUGCCCUUGACUUUGGGAUAACUUCAGGAAACUGGGGCUAAUACCGGAUAGGAGCUCCUGCUGCAUGGUGGGGGUUGGAAAGUUUCGGCGGUUGGGGAUGGACUCGCGGCUUAUCAGCUUGUUGGUGGGGUAGUGGCUUACCAAGGCUUUGACGGGUAGCCGGCCUGAGAGGGUGACCGGCCACAUUGGGACUGAGAUACGGCCCAGACUCCUACGGGAGGCAGCAGUGGGGAAUAUUGCACAAUGGGCGGAAGCCUGAUGCAGCAACGCCGCGUGCGGGAUGACGGCCUUCGGGUUGUAAACCGCUUUCGCCUGUGGCGAAGCGUGAGUGACGGUAAUGGGUAAAGAAGUACCGGCUAACUACGUG